rnacentral:tRNA from 1 species
GGCAGUGUGGUCUAGUGGCGAGAACAUCAGACUGGGACUCUGGAAAUCUGGGUUCUAUUCCUUGCUUCGCUA